rnacentral:rRNA from 1 species
AGUUGGUAGGGUAACGGCUCACCAAGACAACGAUACAUAGGGGGACUGAGAGGUUAACCCCCCACAUUGGUACUGAGACACGGACCAAACUCCUACGGGAGGCAGCAGUGAGGAAUAUUGGUCAAUGGACGCAAGUCUGAACCAGCCAUGCCGCGUGCAGGAAGACGGCUCUAUGAGUUGUAAACUGCUUUUGUACGAGGGUAAACGCAGAUACGUGUAUCUGUCUGAAAGUAUCGUACGAAUAAGGAUCGGCUAACUCCGUGCCAGCAGCCGCGGUAAUACGGAGGAUUCAAGCGUUAUCCGGAUUUAUUGGGUUUAAAGGGUGCGUAGGCGGUCGGAUAAGUUAGAGGUGAAAUCCCGAGGCUCAACUUCGGAAUUGCCUCUGAUACUGUUCGGCUAGAGAGUAGUUGCGGUAGGCGGAAUGUAUGGUGUAGCGGUGAAAUGCUUAGAGAUCAUACAGAACACCGAUUGCGAAGGCAGCUUACCAAGCUACUUCUGACGUUGAGGCACGAAAGCGUGGGGAGCAAACAGGAUUAGAUACCCUGGUAGUCCACGCAGUAAACGAUGAUA